rnacentral:rRNA from 1 species
AAUCAACGCUGGCGGCGUGCCUCAGACAUGCAAGUCGAACGCGAAAGUUUCCUUCGGGAGGCGAGUAGGGUGGCGCACGGGUGAGUAACACGUAAGUAAUCUACCUUUGGGUGGGGAAUAACAGCCGGAAACGGCUGCUAAUACCGCAUAAUGCAGCGGCUCGACAUCGAGACAGUUGUUAAAGCGGGGGAGUUCGUAAGAACCUCGCGCCUAAAGAGGAGCCUGCGGCGGAUUAGCUAGUUGGUAAGGUAAUGGCUUACCAAGGCAUCGAUCCGUAGCCGGCCUGAGAGGGCGGUCGGCCACACUGACACUGACAUACGGGUCAGACUCCUACGGGAGGCAGCAGUCGGGAA